rnacentral:tRNA from 1 species
GGUGAGGUGGCCGAGCGGUUUAAGGCGCACGCCUGGAAAGCGUGUAAGGGUCGAAGGCUCUUCGCGGGUUCGAAUCCCGCCCUCACCG